rnacentral:misc_RNA from 1 species
UACAGAGAGGGCAAGUGUUUUCCGGAAUGACUGGGCGUAAAGGGUGCGUAGGCGGUUUGUAUUGUUAGAAGUGAAAUCCCAUUUAAUCAUUGGAACGGCUUCUAAUACGUGCAGACUAGAGUAGAACAGAGGAUGGCAGAAUACGUGGUGAAAAGAUAAAAUUUGAUGAUAUCACGUGGAAUAUCAGUAGCGAAAGCAGCCAUCUGGUUACUUUACUGACGCUGAGUGCACGAAAGCGUGGGGAGCAAAAGGG